rnacentral:lncRNA from 1 species
AGUACUUCGGUGCAGACAGGGUGUUUUGUCUCCCCUGAUGAAGGUGAACACAAACAGAAAGAUGGCCAUAGCACGCACACACUUCUGAAAAACACAAUCAGAAAAUGUGUUUGCUUCUGUUUGCUGACCCAGCCACGGUGGUGUGGGCGGCACAUGUUCCAGGUGGAUCAUGGGAAAAAACAAGACUGGAUGAGUUCAGCCGUUACCAUGGCGAUGCAGGUGGACAGCUGCUCAUGCACCUAGGACAGCGUUUAAAGUGGUUACGGGUUGCCGAGAAGCCAUUUGGAAAAACCUGCAACCCAGGAUGCCAUGGAUAAAAGGGUCCAGAUUCAGGUCAACCUUUAGCUGAAAGAGGCCUCCGAUUGUGAAGGUGGGAGAAGGCCGUGCACAGGGGAGAGGGAUCCGCUGCAGUGAGAGUCAGCAUCAAGUCUCGGACCACCUAUCUCAAAACCAGCCUCUACUCCCAAGCCACAAGACUGAUCCAACAGCUGAACCCUGGGCUGACUCCUGCACCUUACCACACACUUACCAUUUAGUCAUAUUCUGUACACAUAAAUCACUUUAGUCUACCGGACCAAUGAAGUAGUUAUGUCAACUGCACUAUGUAGAUAUACUAUUAUUAUAAUUCUAUGCUGCUACUGCAUUGUAGUUAUUCCACUCUAUGGGCAAAACAUUUCCAUACUAUAUGAAUAUAGGCUAUUUUGGUUUUAUCUUAAGGCUGUUUUUGUUUGAUCUUAUUCUUAUUUAUAUCUUAUAUCUUUUUUUGAUCUGCAUGCUUCUUUUGUACAUGUUUUUAUUGUUUAAUUGUUAGUAGGUCACACAGGAAAGGAAUCAAAUAAGUGACAUUGUACAUUUUACAAUGUCACUUAUUUGAUUCCGUUACAAUGUCACAUUAAUUACUGUGUGAGGAGCCUGUCAAUCAUUUUUUGUUGUUAUUGAUUUUACUGGAUUUAUUUGUCAUCACCUGUUGAUCCAGGGAACCAGGACUAGCCCUCAUUACCUGAUAUAUUUUGCACACACAUAAUCAUUUACAGUACUUGUUAGUACUUAUUGGAAAUCACAAUUCGUUUUUCAAAUGGACAUGGCAUCCAACGUAUCUUAAAUAAUAAAAGUCAAUAAAUAAAUAAGUGGUGAAAGGGAGUAGGCACGCUGCUGUCUUGACGCUGACAAAGCACCUUGCCUCCGACUGUCAGCUGUAGUGUCGCCAGUCGGAAGAAGGACAGGUGAAGGAUGGGGUGGGCUGUGUGAGGAAAACAGCACUUGAACUGCAGGAGCACGGCUGCCGCUUGAGAAAGUGGCAUAUCGCGGGCGCCCCAUGAAUGAGGCGAUUGGCAAAAAAGCUGUCGUACGACCACUCGGGAGGGAUGCCGGCCUCCCGAUUGCUCAUUGUGAACUCGGUAGCAAAGUGCAAAGAAAUGUUAAUUCUGGUCAGGGGGAGUUCCCGCUUGAAUUUGGUUAAAAGGGCAGUGAAUUCGCUCAUACUUUGAGAACUUGUUAGCAAGCUCCUGAGACACAUCAUUUUUCUCUCAGAGAUUAUUAACUGAAGACACAUGUAACUACUUUAAGUCUUAUUUAGUGAUAAUCAUUUACUCUGUGUU